UCUAGAAGCUUCGGCAAUGGGCGAAAGCCUGACCGAGCGACGCCGCGUGCAGGACGAAGGUCUUCGGAUUGUAAACUGCUUUCGACGGGGAUGAAAGGUAAGAGGGCGAAUACCCCCCUUAUUUGACAGUACCCGCAGAAGAAGCCCUGGCUAACUCCGUGCCAGCAGCCGCGGUAAUACGGAGAGGGCAAGCGUUGUUCGGAUUUAUUGGGCGUAAAGCGCGCGUAGGUGGCAUGGUAAGUCGGAUGUUAAAGACCCACGGCUCACCCGGGGGAAUGCGUCCGAUACUGCCGUGCUAGAGUGCGGGAGAGGAAAGUGGAAUUCCUGGUGUAGCGGUGAAAUGCGUAGAUAUCAGGAGGAACACCGGUGGCGAAGGCGGCUUUCUGGCCCGUAACUGACACU
rnacentral:rRNA from 1 species